rnacentral:lncRNA from 1 species
UACAAGGUCAUAUGGAGGAUGAACAUAGAAUACUUCACCCGUGAGUUGGAAAAGACAACAAGCAAUCCUGAAGAGGAAACACAACAAGAUCAACAAAGAAGAAUGCGAAAUGGGAAGUGUGUUGGCAGUAGAAAAUGGAUACCAACAACCAGAGUUUUUACUCUAACCAAAGAUAUUGAACAACCAGGUGGUCCUGCAAAAGACAAAAAUGGGAAUGUAAACACUUGUAAUCCUUUUGAAAUGUUAUACAAAUAAUGAAGUGAAUGACAUAAACAACAAGGAUGAUUGUAUUUUAACAAAUCCUACAAAACAAAAAGAAGAGACUACAAGAGAAUGGGUUGAUAAAUCUUUUAAAGAAGACUACAGACAUCAGAUUACACCUUCAAAAGCAGCUUCCAGUACCACUCCUAGUAGUCAUAGCAAUGGGAAAUCCAGUAAAUGGAGAGAUAGAGUGGAAAUUGAGCAGGCCAAAGAACUGGAGGAGAGUGAAAUUGAGACGAGGUAUCCCAGUAUGAAGUGUCGAGAGAUCGUGAUUUCUACUCAAUCGAAGGCUUUAGCUAGUAAGAAUGAUGAUGGUGAGUUCCAUGAGGAGAACCAGGUCUGCAAGGAUCUUGAUAUAGAAUUACGAAAAGUAGAUUCUGAAGACUCAAGGAAAAAUGAAAAGGAGGAUCAAAAUGAUACAGAGCAAUUCCAUUUGUUGGCAACACCUUACCAGAAAAGUCCAUCUGAAACAUUACAUGAUAUUCUUACGCACCAGAUGAAUAGGGUACAAGAGGCAGAAAGCAGUUAUGAUGAAAGUGUGACAAAAGUUGAGGAGGAUAUUGCUGAAAAUAUGGAGGAUGAUGCUAAUUGGAAGCAGGUUGGUAGGACAGGUGAUCUGUCUCCCAAAUCAUUAAAGAAAUUUGUUAAGAGGGGGAAAAAAGCAGACAAGCUUAGAAAAUCAAUAACCUACAAGAGUUGUGCCAAAAAGAGGGACCACAAACAAAGUUGUUACAUGAUGAUGAAAGCUAUCUUUUGGAAUAUCAGAUCUAUUAACACACAACAAGCUUUUAAUAGAUUGCAAAUGUUAAAUAGACAUCAUAAGUAUUUUCUUAUAGCUCUUAUGGAGCCAUUUCAACAUAUGAGACACCUGCGAGUUAUAAAAGAAAACUGAAAAUGUAUACAGCUGGCACAAAUAACAAUGGAAAGAUAUGGUUUUUUGUUAAGGAAGGGCUAGAUGUGGAAGUAAUCAGUGAUACAGAGCAACAAAUCACUGUAAAAAUAUCAUUCUUGGAGAAUCAGAAGCAAAUGAUUAUCACUAUGUUAUAUGCCAAAUGUUCUGAAGGAGAAGACUUGAUUUGUGGAAUGACAUAUAUUGUGGUAAUGAUACUACUCUUCCUUGGUUGAUUGGUGGAGACUUUAAUGUUAUUCUUCAUGAAGAUGAGAAAAUAGGGGGUUUACCUGUGACUCAGCGGGAGAUGGAAGAUUUUGCAUUUUGUGUGAAUUCUUGUGAACUUGAAGAAAUCCCUUUUAAAGGUAGCCCUUUCACUUGGUGGAAUGGGAGGGCAGGACCUGAUUGCAUUUUAAAAAGGUUGGAUAGACUAUUGGCAAACUCGCAUCUUAUGGAAUGGUUCUCAACAAUGGAGGUGGAUCAUUUACCUAGAACGGGGUUGGAUCAUUCCCCUAUGUUUCUUACUUUGAGUACAGGGCAUCAACCAGUUGUCAAACCUUUUAAAUUUCUCUCUUUCUGGGUGGAAGAUAUCACCCUGAAUGAGGUAGUCCUACAGCACUGGAAGACCAAUGAAACUGGAAAUAGUUUCUGGAUUUUCAAACACAAGUUGAAGAAUCAGAAAAAGGCUUUGAGGGUAUGGAGCAGGGAGAGGUAUGGUGAUAUCUUUCAACAACUAACUAUUAGAGAGGAGAUUAUGAAGAUGAAGGAACAGUUAUUUGAGGAAGAUCCUUCUUUCUCAAAUAGAAUGGCUAUGCAGCAGGCUCAAGCAGAAGUGAAAAGAUAUAUACACUAUGAGGAGGAAUUCUGGAGACAAAAGGCUGGAAUAACAUGGUUUGAAAAAGGAGAUAGAGAUACGAGAUUUUUUCAGUCUUGUAAACGGAAGGAGAAAGAAGCUACAAAUCCACAUAAUUAAAAAUACUAGUGGAGAUUGGAUAGAGGAGAAAGAUUUGGUUGCUGAUGAAGCUGCACAAUCUUAUAAGAGACAAUUCACACAAGAAGAGGAGGGAAAUAGUUUUGAACUGUUGAAAUUCUUACCAGAGAUGGUUACUACUGAAGAUAACAAAUUAUUAUGUACAGUACCCACCAUAGAGGAAGGUAAACAUGAUGUUUUUGGUUUAAAAUGUAGUAGUGCUUGUGGCCCUGAUGGGUUUUCAGGAAUAUUCUACCAACAUUGUUGGGAAGUAGUCAAACAAGAUAUCUAUAGCAUGGUGAAUGACUUCUUUGAAGGUAAUACUCUUCCAAAAAGUGUUACACAUACCAAUUUGGUACUUAUUCCAAAGAAGGAGGUUAUUGAAAGCUUCUUCAAUCUAAGACCUAUAAGCCUCAAUAACUUUAUUAACAAAGUUAUUUCUAGAGUAUUGCAUGAGAGGCUAGAAGGUUUAUUACCAAGUUAAUUUCUAAAAAUCAGUCAGGUUUUGUCAAGGGCAGAAGUAUCAUAGAGAAUGUUCUACUUACGUAGGAAAUAGUUACUGAUAUUAGACUGAGAGGUAAGCCAUCUAAUGUCAUUAUAAAAUUGGAUAUGUCAAAGGCCUAUGAUAGAGUAUCAUGGCUCUUAUUAACAAAAGUCAUGAGAAAGAUGGGCUUUACAGAAGUGUUUAUUGAUAUGAUUUGGAGACUAAUUGCUAAUAACUGGUAUUCUAUUAUUAUUAAUGGACAGUCAUAUGGCUUUUUCCAUUCUACAAGGGGAAUCAAACAGGGAGACCCCUUAUCGCUUGCAUUAUUCACUCUCACUUCUGAGGUGUUGUCCAGAGCUCUCAAUGCUCUCUUUGAAGAUGAGAGAUAUAAACAAUAUGGGUUGCCUAAAUGGAGUAGGAACAUAAAUCAUCUAGCGUAUGCUGAUGAUACCAUCUUAUUUACCUCUACUGCUAAAGGAUCUCUAGAUUUGGUGAUGACAGUGUUAAAAGAUUAUCAACAAGCAUCUAGCCAGCUUAUCAAUAAUCAGAAAAGUAGCUUCUAUAUGUACAGAAAGGUUUCUAAUGUUUUGAUGGAUGAAGUAAAGGAAACAACAGGAUUUAACCAAGGGAAAUUUCCUUUUGUAUAUUUGGGUUGCCCCAUCACACAUGCUAAGAAAAGAAAGGCAGAUUAUAAUGAGAUCAUUAAGAAGGUGAAGGGGAGACUUCAAAACUGGAAAGGAAAACUACUCUCCUAUGGGGAUUCCUAUGGAGCAAUAAAGAUGAAUGCAAGAGUAAACAUUGGGUAUCUUGGGAUAUGAUGUGUUACCCUAAGGAAGAAGGAGGUUUGGGUUUUAGAUCUUUAUUUGAUAUAUCGAAAGCUUUAUUUGCCAAACUAUGGUGGAAUUUCAGAACAUCCCGAUCUCUAUUGACUGAUUAUAUGUGGAAUAAGUAUUGUAAAAAGAUAAUUCCUACAUUAGUACAAUGGAAAAUAGGGUCUCAAAUUUGGAGAAAAAUGCUUGAGGCCAGGGACGAUAUUGAACAAGAAAUAUGGUGGGAACCUACUGUGGGUUCUUCUAGCAUAUGGUUUGACACCUGGACUAAAUUGGGAGCUUUAUAUCAUGUAGUGGAAACUAAUUUCGCAAUUGAGAAUGAGAUAAGAGAUAUUGAUUCACUAAUGAUAGAUGAAAAAUGGAAUGAACGGAAGAUGUCAGAAAUCCUCCCUAGUGAUAUUGUACAACAUAUUCAGGAUCAUAUUCACAUUAGUAAGGCAGCUUCACCUUGGGAUUUGCCUUGGUGGAUGGCUACUACUAGUGGGAAAUUCUCGGUGGCCAGUGCUUUCCAAUUGAUGAGACAGAGAAACUCACCAGUAGAAAACAUGAAACGUUUAUAGAGUAAGGGAGUCCCUUUAAAGAUUAACUUCUUUUUAUGGAGGUUGUGGAAAUAUAAGCUUCCUAUUGAUGAUAUUCUUCAAAGGUGUGGUAUCAAUUUGGUGUCAAGGUGUAGAUGUUGUGAGUCACCACAUACAGAAACCUCUCAACAUCUAUUUAUUACUAGUGAGUUUGCUCAAAAGACCUGGAAAUACUUUUUUAUUGGUUUUGGAGUAGAGGGUCCUUUUGUGCAAUGCCAUGAAACUAUUCAAAAAUGGUGGAAUACUGAGAGUCAUAGCAGGAUUAAACCAAUUUUGCAAGCUAUUCCUGGUAUGAUAUGCUGGCAGUUGUGGAAAAGAAGAAAUAAGGUGAAUUAUGGAGGCACUAUGACUUGGAGGAGAGUGAUAUAUAAGAUCUCUAGAAACACUCAUCUUUUAACCAUGAUUUUGUAUCCAUGGAUGAAGAACAUCCCACAAGAAUGGCCCCUUUUGAUGGAUUUUCUUCAAAAAUACAAAUCUGUGAUAAGAUUGGUACCUAUAAGUUGGAAACUACCUAAUCAAGGUUGGUUCAAAUGUAAUUCAGAUGGUGCUUCUAAAGGAAACCCUGGUCCAAGUUCUAUAGCAUUUUGUAUCAAGGGAAUAUUCAAUAUGCUCUAUGUAGAAGGAUGACAGACUCUACUAGUCUAUUUGUUGAGGCUACGGCUUUGAAGGAAGGGUGUGAGCUAUGUGUUGAAAGACUAUAUCUACCAGUUAUAUUGGAAACACAUUCUUUGGCCCUAAUAAAAAUAUUAAGGGGAGAUUGGGAUUGCCCCUGGAGUAUUGUGAUGAUUAUAAGGAGGAAAAAAGAGGUGAUUGAAGGAGGUCUCAUACAACUUCAGCACACACAUAGAGAAGGCAACAACGCUGCAGAUUUUUAGCUAACUGGUGUUUUAGUUUUGCAGGGACAAAAUGCUUUGAUUCAUUUGCAACAUUACCAAGGAAGGCUAAAGGCAUAAUUAUUUUAGACAAACAACAAGUUCCACAUAUGAGAAUCAAAAGACUUAAAAGACAAGCAUAAGAUGAAAUGAGACAAGAUUUAUAGCUCAGAUACUAUACUGUUGUUUAACAAAAGAGACAAGCAAGAUGGAAAUUAAACAAUCAACACAACAACAACGUACUGGCAGUAUAUUUCAGACCAAUUUGGAGAUUUGUACAGUGGGGUAAGUACAAGUCAAUGAUACAUUCGUUUGAAAUCUAUUAAGGUGGUAUCAAUCUCACUAGAGGUUCCUUCCUUUGUAGAAAUUAAACGAAAGUAUCAGGAUGCGUACCUUACAGAUACUCAAAGCUGUUAGAUCUAAUUCCCUUGAUUUUGUGAAGAAAAAGUCACAAGCUUGGAGUGAGCUCCAUCGAGAUUUAAAUACAUAGCACCUGGUGAGAGUUUAAAGGUGACUAGAAAUGUAUUUUGGCUCAAAGCUUCAGAUUUUUUACUCAAAUUAGGUGAAAAAGAUGACAUAGCAAAGCUAUAAACACAAGCUGGAAGGUAAUUUAUGGUGGUCAGCUUACCUGAGACGAGGAUUCCGACGAGCAGCUGAAGAAGAAGACUGAUUGACGCAGCAAGAGAUCGCCUCACUUUCCUUUAUGAGAAUGACAAUUUAUUAUUCUUUCCUUUGCUCUUUUAAAUUAGGUUUCUU